AGGGUUCGAUUCUGGCUCAGGAUGAACGCUGGCGGCGUGCUUAACACAUGCAAGUCGAACGGGAUCCAUCGGGCUUUGCCUGGUGGUGAGAGUGGCGAACGGGUGAGUAAUGCGUGACCGACCUGCCCCAUGCACCGGAAUAGCUCCUGGAAACGGGUGGUAAUGCCGGAUGCUCCAUCACACCGCAUGGUGUGUUGGGAAAGCCUUUGCGGCAUGGGAUGGGGUCGCGUCCUAUCAGCUUGAUGGCGGGGUAACGGCCCACCAUGGCUUCGACGGGUAGCCGGCCUGAGAGGGCGACCGGCCACAUUGGGACUGAGAUACGGCCCAGACUCCUACGGGAGGCAGCAGUGGGGAAUAUUGCACAAUGGGCGCAAGCCUGAUGCAGCGACGCCGCGUGAGGGAUGGAGGCCUUCGGGUUGUAAACCUCUUUUGUUAGGGAGCAAGGCAUUUUUUGUUGAGUGUACCUUUCGAAUAAGCACCGGCUAACUACGUGCCAGCAGCCGCGGUAAUACGUAGGGUGCAAGCGUUAUCCGGAAUUAUUGGGCGUAAAGGGCUCGUAGGCGGUUCGUCGCGUCCGGUGUGAAAGCCCAUCGCUUAACGGUGGGUCUGCGCCGGGUACGGGCGGGCUGGAGUGCGGUAGGGGAGACUGGAAUUCCCGGUGUAACGGUGGAAUGUGUAGAUAUCGGGAAGAACACCAAUGGCGAAGGCAGGUCUCUGGGCCGUUACUGACGCUGAGGAGCGAAAGCGUGGGGAGCGAACAGGAUUAGAUACCCUGGUAGUCCACGCCGUAAACGAUGAGUGCUAAGUGUUGGAGGGUUUCCGCCCUUCAGUGCUGCAGCUAACGCAUUAAGCACUCCGCCUGGGGAGUACGACCGCAAGGUUGAAACUCAAAGGAAUUGACGGGGGCCCG
rnacentral:rRNA from 1 species